UACGUAGGGGGCAAGCGUUGUCCGGAUUUAUUGGGCGUAAAGAGCGUGUAGGCGGCCUGGAAGGUCAGCUGUGAAAACUCGAGGCUCAACCUCGAGACGUCGGUUGAAACCACCUGGCUAGAGUCCGGAAGAGGAGAGUGGAAUUCCCGGUGUAGCGGUGAAAUGCGCAGAUAUCGGGAGGAACACCAGUGGCGAAGGCGACUACCUGGCCUGUUCUUGACGCUGAGGCGCGAAAGCUAGGGGAGCAAACGGG
rnacentral:rRNA from 1 species